rnacentral:rRNA from 1 species
CGGGACGGGGUGAGUAAUGUCUGGGAAACUGCCUGAUGGAGGGGGGUAACUACUGGAAACGGUAGCUAAUACCGCAUAACGUCGCAAGGCCAAAGAGGGGGACCUUCGGGCCUCUUGCCAUCGGAUGUGCCCAGAUGGGAUUAGCUAGUAGGUGGGGUAACGGCUCACCUAGGCGACGAUCCCUAGCUGGUCUGAGAGGAUGACCAGCCACACUGGAACUGAGACACGGUCCAG